rnacentral:rRNA from 1 species
AACACGCAUGACACACUGCAUAUCAAUAAGCGGAGGAAAAGAAACUAACAAGGAUUCCCCUAGUAACGGCGAGUGAAGCGGGAAGAGCUCAAAUUUGAAAUCUUAAAGGGUUUCCCUUUACGAAUUGUAGUUUAAAGAAGUGUUUUCUGUUGGAGUUUCGGUAAAAGUUCUUUGGAAUAGGACAUCAUAGAGGGUGAGAAUCCCGUAUUUGACCGCUACUUUCCAGCUGUGUGAUACACUUUCAAAGAGUCGGAUUGUUUGGGAAUGCAGUCCAAAAUGGGUGGUAAACUUCAUCUAAAGCUAAAUAUUGGCGAGAGACCGAUAGCGAACAAGUACCGUGAGGGAAAGAUGAAAAGAACUUUGAAAAGAGAGUUAAACAGUACGUGAAAUUGUCAAAAGGGAAGCGUUUGACACCAGUGUUGUUUAGUUGAAAAUCAAUUCAAUAAUUUUUGAUUUUGAGUAGUAUUGACUUCAUCAGCUUGCUGCUUUCUUUUCCGAAAUUAUUGAAUGCACUUUUCAGUUAACAAGUCAACAUCAAUUUCUUUUGUUGUAAAAGGGUAAGAGGAAGGUGGCUUACGCUUCGGCGUAAGUGUUUAUAGCCUUUUACCUCUGCAAUCGGAGAGAUUGAGGACAGCAGCGUAGACUCCUUCGGGGGUUAGAUACACUUGUGCUAAGCUAUAGCCUUGUAUAGACAACUUGUUGACUAUGCUCAGUCAUGUAGCUUACUCGCUUGUGCUAUUUUACCUACGCUUAGGAUGUUGAGCGCAUGUCUCUCUCU